GAUACGGAUGCUAGUGGUAAUUGUAAGGAGCAGCAGCUGUAGGCUUGAAGUACUGGAAUAAAUGAUUGGAUUUGUUACUUGUUUUUCUCAUCCCCAAAAUGUUUUUCUUCUCCUUUUGCAGUGUACUCGCCUUGGGAGCUGGAUCAUGGAGAUGCUGCCGGUUUUGGCCAUGGUGGUGGGGUUUGAUCAAGUUCUUGUUGGGGUAAAAAAAGAGCAUGGAGUAAGCUAAGAGAUGACCCAUAUUUGGCAAGGAAGGUGGCCUCACCUUGCUUUUGCCAGAUCUAGUUUGCAUCUUAGGGAUCCGCUUCCAUUGUGGUGAUGAGGGCUGCUUGGUUAUACUUUGGUCUGUGCCUCGUUUGUGGUCUUAACUAUUACUCACGGCUGACCCUUUUUGUUAUUAUUAUUUUUUUCCAGGAUAAGGGCAUCAUGAUUUAAUAGCCAACAGAGCUACACAAUAAAUUCGAAGAAGGAACUACUCCUCCCAUGCUUCCUUCUG